rnacentral:rRNA from 1 species
ACAUGCCUACAACAUAGAAUUACUGUAGCGGAUCCCAUUAGAACUUUGCAAUUAAGCACACUCAAGAUAGAGUAGUACUAGGAUGGGUGACUACCUGGGAAGUCCUAGUGUUUUACAUGCC